rnacentral:lncRNA from 1 species
AAGUGUUCUUGACUGGAGGAGCUGCAGCAGGAUCCCGUGGGGAGAGGCCAGCAAGCUUCACUCCAUCACGGAGAAGGGGUCAUGGGAAGGACAAAGAAUGGGGACCUUGCUGCAGGCCAUUUCUGAGGACUAAACACCUUCAUCUAGAUGCUGGCACCGCCGUGAUCCUAAGUACCAACCUUCCCCGUGGGCUGCAGGCAGCCCCCGUGGCGCAGCAACGUCACGCUCACCGCGCUGCCGUACUUCCAUUACACGUCUGUAAGUGAAAUCAAACCUGGGGGAUUUCUUCCUACUGCUCUAGCCCUGCAGCCACACCGCAGAAUACAAAUGCCGGGCUGACGCACGCGCUUGGCGCUCGGCUCGCUGCCCCAGGGACCGUCAGCGGGCUGCAAGCCUUGAAGGGCUGGAGGCUCGUUAACACCAGGCUUUAAAUAACUGUGGUGCUGGGGGAGCGGGUGCUGUGUGUAGCUGCGGUGUGUAUUUAUGCGUGUGAGCGCGUUUGGUUUGACAACGGGAGUGAAAGAGCACUUGUUCCUUUGCUUCUCAGGCAUCACCAGCGUUGUGCUUCCCAGCAUGCCCUAGAAUCCCUUCAAACAAGCAUUCGCUGUAGCAGAAAGUCCAAGAAAAGGCUUACUCCCUUGAGGAUCAAGAAGAAAGCAACAGUGAAGAAAGGACCGGUGGCAGCACGGAGAAUACGGAAAGCAGAUAAAGAGGAAAAUGAGGAGGUGGAGGGAAGAUGGGAAGUCAUGGCCCAUGACAGGGAGUCAGUGGGAUUUCUGUCAGAGCUUGAAAUCAGAACAUGUGGAGAGACUGAGGAUGCAGCAGGGUAUGUAUUGGUAUGGGUCUUAGGACAAACACAAGUCCAGAAAGAUCCUUGUGAUAAAUAAGCAUUGCUUGUUGUCACAGUGCUGGCACUGUUUUGGAGAGCCAGGACCAGUUGCCUGCUCUGCCAAAUUUCCAGAAAAAAGCAAAUAAAACUCUUGAAUUACUUAAGCA